rnacentral:lncRNA from 1 species
CCGGGCUCUCGCCCCCCGAUGAGGGCGGUCGCGGCGCUCAGCAAGAGUGGUGCGGGUAGAGCAGCGAUAGUAAAAGUCGAGGGAUGCAGGGAAGAGGCUGUACUGACACCGUCCAGCCUGUUCUAACCUCAGCCGCAUCUCCGCCCGCCUCGGGAGCGGCUAGGGAAGCCUCCCUUUGCACAUGCCCGGGAAGAAAAGUGAGGCUGGGGUCACGUAAACAUCCAUCCGUGUUCUCCCGAUUCUUCCUGGAGUGUCGUCGGACACGCUUCCAUUUGUCGGCCUACGCCGAAACAGCCAGCGGCAGAUUGAGAACCCCGGCGCCCCCAGGCAGGCCGAUAUGCCGAUGGUUUUUGGGAAGAGCCCUGCGCAAGUUCCGUGGCUCUGAGCAAGGAGAUGGUGCUUUCUUCUUCCCGUGCCAGGUGAAGCGGCAGAAGGCCGGCUGGGGACCGGCUCUCGCUGCAGCAGCGUGUCCCCGGGCCGGCCGCUGCUCCUCGGCCAGCCCCGCUGCGGAAAUGGCCGCUUUUGGUAAAUCUCCCGGGGCGAGCCUGGGGAAGGGCUGGGGGCGUGCGGGGGGUGUGGAUCAGCUCCUGCCCCGCUCCCGCCCCUCCGCUGCCGGUGCGAAAAUUACGCACUGGGGGCUGAUAAUGCGUCAGCGCUUCGCAAUCACCAGGAUUUUCUUCCUGGAACGUCUAUUUUUGUUGGUUGCGGGUUUUAUUUUGGCUCGGGUUUGGUUUGGUUGUUUUUUUGGGGUUUUCCCCCCCCCCCUUUCUGUGUGUGCGCGCUCGGCGGCGAUGGCGGAGCCGGCUGGGGACGCGGCCGGCCCGGCGGGCCCCGCGGCCCUGCUGCCCCCCCUGGCGGCACCGCGGGGCUCGGGCCCGUGCACCUCCCGCUCCCCUUCGUGCGCUGCCUUCUCUUCCCUGCCGAUUGAUUUUCCUCUCCCUCCCCACCCCAGCGGGGAAACGCUGUCUUUCCUUCCUACCGGAUUGAUCACCGAUUUAAAAAAAUAUUGUUUUUAA